CCUACGGGAGGCAGCAGUAGGGAAUCUUCCGCAAUGGACGAAAGUCUGACGGAGCAACGCCGCGUGAGCGAUGAAGGCCUUCGGGUCGUAAAGCUCUGUUGUUAGGGAAGAAUAAGUGCUAGUUGAAUAAGCUGGCACCUUGACGGUACCUAACCAGAAAGCCACGGCUAACUACGUGCCAGCUAGCACUUGCGGUAACAUACGUAGGUGCGCAAGCGGUUAGUCCGGAAUUAUUGGGCGUAAAGCGCGCGCAGGCGGUUUCUUAAGUCUGAUGUGAAAGCCCCCGGCUCACCCGGGGAGGGUCAUUGGAAACCUGGGAAACUUGAGUGCAGAAGAGGAAAGUGGAAUUCCCAGUGUAGCGGUGAAUGCGUAGAGAUUUGGAGGAACACCAGUGGCGAAGCGACUUUCUGUUCUGUAACUGACGCUGAGGCGCGAAAGCGUGGGGAGCAAACAGGAUUAGAUACCCUGGUAGUCCACGCUGUAAACGAUGAGUGCUAAGUGUUAGAGGGUUUCCGCCCUUUAGUGCUGAAGUUAACGCAUUAAGCACUCCGCCUGGGGAGUACGGUCGCAAGACUGAAACUCAAAGGAAUUGACGGGGGCCCGCACAAGUGGUGGAGCAUGUGGUUUCAAUUCGAAGCAACGCGAAGAACCUUAC
rnacentral:rRNA from 1 species